rnacentral:rRNA from 1 species
GACGAACGCUGGCGGCGUGCCUAACACAUGCAAGUCGAACGAGUCCAGGCUUUCGGGCCUGAGGCGAGUGGCGGACGGGUGAGUAACACGUGAGCAAUCUGUCCCUGUGUGGGGACGAACCCGGGAAACCCGGGCGUAACUACCGCAUGGGCGAGGCACUUCGAUGAAGAGCCUGGAAGAGGCCCUCUUUACUAAUGGUCUCAUGCAGGGAGGAGCUCGCGGCUAUCAGCUAGUUGGUAGUGGUAACGGCCUACCAA